rnacentral:lncRNA from 1 species
CAAGUCUGGGUGCCUCAGUUGGUCUUCAGUAUACUCUGGAAUCCUGAGGAGCUAUGCCAGUGAAGGGAUGAACGUGCCCUCGAGAGCAAACAGACAAAAAGAGCAAUAAAGCUUCCUUCUUCCAUGUGUUUUAUAUAGGCGUGAAGCAGAAGAUGUGGCCCAGAUUAAAGGUGGAUCUUCACCCUCAAAGAUCCAGAUUAGAACUCCUGGCUGGUGACAUGUGGAUGACACUCUAUAACUAUCAGAUGGUCCCACAAAUACCAACAUUGCUGCUCCAUCUGAAUCAAAUCCUCCAUACCCACAAGGGUUGUUUGUCCUCUUUUCUGCCUGAUGUCACAGCUGGGAUACCUUGAUGUCACAAAGUGGAAGAUGAAGAGGCAUAGUCUAACAUGUGGAAGAAAAUGUGAUGCUGGGGUCCAGUUUUUCUUGAGUGGUUGUGCAUUUCUAUCUGCUUUUCUUAGCUCUGUUCAUUUCCCUGCUCCAGUAUUCACUUGCUGUUGCCAGGGACCCAUGAGCCUCGGAGUUGAAGUCAAGAUAGCUCCCUGGCUCUGGAUUUUGCAGUAAUGAAUGCACCCACCAAGGUAAUAAUAAACUCGCAGUCUCAUUACUUGCCUGCUCACUAAUUCCCUUCGUGUUUCUCUGCCCCUUUCCUCAAAUGGAUUCCUGAGUUCUUCCAGAUUGCUGGUUGCUAAGCUAUCAAGUUCCAGGUUCUGAAACCUGGCUGCUCAUUGGUGGAGAGUUCCUGGGCUGUUCCAAUCAGGAGGCGGCAGAGAAAGGCA